rnacentral:rRNA from 1 species
CGAAGGUGGCAAGCGUUGUUCGGAUUUACUGGGCGUACAGGGAGCGUAGGCGGUUGGAUAAGCCCUCCGUGAAAUCUCCAGGCUUAACCUGGAAAGUGCAGAGGGGACUGUUCAGCUAGAGGAUGGGAGAGGAGCGCGGAAUUCCCGGUGUAGCGGUGAAAUGCGUAGAGAUCGGGAGGAAGGCCGGUGGCGAAGGCGGCGCUCUGGAACAUUUCUGACGCUGAGGCUCGAAAGCGUGGGGAGCAAACAGGAUUAGGUACCCUGGUAGUCCACGCCUUAAACGAUGGAUACUAAGUGUCGGCGGGUUACCGCCGGUGCCGCAGCUAACGCAGUAAGUAUCCCGCCUGGGAAGUACGGCCGCAAGGUUG